rnacentral:lncRNA from 10 species
GAGAGUACAGGAGGAUGUUUAUUUUAAGGUGUGCACCGGCUGAGUGGAUUCAAAUCCAAAAAGCUGAGCAUUAAACAAAGACAGAGCAGGGUUUUUAUAAGUGGACUUACAAAAGUAAAACAAAAGCAGUUAAUCAUAUAGUGCAUAACUUGUGGCCUUGCAUAGCUGGUGGCCUUGGAGCUGUGUCAAAAGAAAAUCAAGAACUGGCUAAAUACAGACAUUUGUAAAACAUAAUCAUGCUUAAGAAGCCAGGGAAAGGAGUAACAGUAAAGGAAUUUGUCUUCUUCUUUUUUUUUUUUUUUCCUUCAACCUUGUUCUAGAGGGGAGGGAUGUCUGGAACCCAUUCCUUUGGACUUGGCUUCUCAAACAACAUUAUCUUAUAACUGUCCUUGAAGUGAGCUUGCUAGGCCGAGGAAAACUUGUUCUUUUCUUUUUAACCCUUGCCUUGCCUGUUAACUUUUCUUGGAGUGAAUGAAUGCAUAAGUUUUCUUCUUUAGACAAAGGUUGACAUUUACAUAGAGCCAUUAGCUGACUGGUAGUUUGCCUAGCUACUAUUGCCUCUAUAGUUGAC